UUGAAGCCAAAGCAGAACUUCGUGUACAUUAAAAACAGAGAGAGCCAGAGAUACAAUCAUCCCACAAAAGAGGGACAGCAAAGGGCCAGAAACUGCAGAGGUGUUCUGGGAGCUGUGGAUAGUUCCACUGUAGGCUCUGGACCACAGGUGCAAGGAAGCAGGAUCCUAACACAACACCCACAAAACGGCUGGUGAUGGUCUCCAACAUUCAGAGAGUCUUUGAAUUUUACUAGACACAGUGACUAAAAUGUGCUGCAUUCCAAAGUACUCAGUUUGAUAUUUUCUUUUGAAAAUUUUACUCUCAGCUUUUUCAGGCUCUAACUCCAUGCCCCUCAGCCAUUAGACAUACGAAUCACUCAAGGGUCAUAUUAACAGGAGGGGCUGAGAAUGGCAAUCUAGCCAAGUGCCAGUGUGAUGUCAGUGCUGUGAUGAUGGACCUUUAUCUGAGUAACAAGGAGCUGAUUAAAGUUAGUAUAACCAGGACCCUGUGUUGUUUAAGAAGGGUCUAUAGAGGGCCAGGGCGCACCUACAGAACAGGGCUUGCUCCUCCUAUCCAACACAGGAAAACCAAAGAACCAAACUCAAGACAACAUUCCACUAGGCAUGGUGGUACAUGCCUGUAAUUCCUGCACUCAAGAGGCUGAUACAGGAGGAUCAGUAUUGAGAUAAAGCUGAGGAACUUCAACUGAUUCAACAACCUCUCCUUUCAAGAGUGCUAAUAGCUGGGCAUGGGAGCCUAGUCCUAAUAUCUGGGAAGCCGAAGCAGGAGGACUACAAGAUUAAGCCCAGUCUGAGCAACUUAGCAAGACCCUAUC